rnacentral:lncRNA from 1 species
AAAAAAUGCCUUAAGUGCCUCAUGUUGGUGGUUUGACUCCUUGUACGCAUAAGUGAGCUCCAUAAUUAUUACACGCUUUAUAUUGACACCUCUACAUUGAGUCUUGCAAGUCCACCAACCAAGGGGAUCUUGGCUCUGUGAAUUAUGUCCUCCGAGUAGCCACUCAUAGCGUGCUGGCUUUCGACAGAGUAUGGAAGAGAAAACCCCCACCAGGUCACAAUACCUUCGGUUGUUGGGGGACAAAUGGACUGCCCGUUG